UACGAAGGGUGCAAACGUUGCUCGGAAUUAUUGGGCGUAAAGCGCACGUAGGCGGCUUGGCAAGUCGGAUGUGAAAUCCCUCGGCUCAACCAAGGAAGUGCAUCCGAAACUGCUAAGCUUGAGUACUUAAGAGGAUCGCGGAAUUCCCGGUGUAGAGGUGAAAUUCGUAGAUAUCGGGAGGAACACCCGUGGCGAAGGCGGCUCUCUGGGACGGUACUGACGCUGAGACGCGAAAGCGUGGGGAGCGAACAGG
rnacentral:rRNA from 1 species